CAGGUGCCUCUAUGGGUGCAGUUGAUGAGGAAAAUAAGGAUGAUGAUGGAUUUCUUCACAUGACCUACAGUGGGAAUGAUACCUUCAGCUACAGUGGGAAUGUUGUGACCUGUUGAUUAUUUAUAGUUUAUCCUCUUUAUCUUAAGAUCAAUGGGCUAGUUUAUUAUGGUGCUAUAAGUGUUUAUUUUUUGAUAUCUCAAGGGAUUUUCAUGUAUGGAGUUAAAAUAUUUUAAUGAUUUGCUAGUGAUCUUUAUGUGUAUUGAUGUUGGAUGAGGGAAUUCCAAUGUCAUUUGGUUGCCAUGGUUGCCUUUCAGUUAAAAGCUUUAUCGGGUUUUGCAUUUGAUCAAUCUCCAACAACCCAAGAACCGAACCAUAUACUAUGUAAGAAAUAAAUAAAUAGAAACGUUGAUAUAGAUCCUAGUUCUCAUUGAAGAGUUGGGUUUGAUUCUUAGAUUGUGUUAUUUAUAUAAGUCCUUUGACUUUUGUUCUAUAUACGAUUAUAUUUAUUUUUAAAUAUUUUCUUACGUAUUCUUUUUAUUCAUUUAUUUUUUAACAUUUGUUCUAUAUAUGAUUACAUUUAUUUUUGAAUAUUUUCUGAUGUAUUCUUUUUAUUUUUUUAUUUUUAAAAUUAUUUUUGUUUCAAUUGCCUCUUAUAACUUGAAUAAGAUAAUAGUCAUUUAUGUCAUAAUAAUUAGCUAUUUACAAUGUUUGUCAUAGAAUAGAAAAAAAUAUAUAGCAAACAUAUCCCACAAAUCACAUUUUUACGUACAGUCAUGCAACUUCGAACUCUAAAUGUUUUGACAAAGAAAAAAAUGAAUUUGUUUAUGGUGUAGGUAUAUUGUCUUAUUGCCUAUUGAAUAGGUACCUAUGUGAUUUUUUUUUCCUUCAUAUUUUCGAUAAUAUGUAAUUUAUGUUCUAAAUUUUUAUAGGUUACAUAAAAUUUUAUUUGUCUAUUUGCCUAUUUUUGGCGUAUGCUGUUUUCCAUAGCAUGUUUUAUGAGCUAGAUAUAUACAUUAUUUGGGUUUUCCCAAUUUCUUUGCAAAUUGCAAACAAAAGUCGUCCCACCAACUGAUAACUAAAGCUAGCUACACUCGUCGCAUUGUUGGAUUUUAUCUGGGGCGCCAAUAUAGACUUGAGUCAUGACCAUACAAAUUACAAUUAAGAUGCCAAAAUGCCUUACAACUAAAUUCCUUAUACGUACAGUACGUACCAAACUGAAAUGUAUUAUAUAAUAAAAGAAAUGUAAUUUGUUUUUAUCUCCUUUUAAAAUAUAAGGAAGCUUGGUACAAAAUAUCAGACACCGGCUGCAAUGGGAUGAUAUAUCUUUCAAAUUAGAUAAAAGAAUAUAUAUUUUGAGCUGAUAAUUGGUUCUAGAAGCGUUUAGAAAUUAGAAUAGGACUUCUAAUAUCAAUAGGUUCCAUUGCAAGUGUCUUAUCUAAGACCCUAUCUCUUAACCGUUAGAUAAAAUUAGUUCAUUAUUAAGAUACAACUAAAAAAGAAAUUCAUCCAAAUUCCUGCCAUCUAUAUGUGCGCGAGUUGGAAGCAUGAAAAAUAAAAAGGAAGAGGCUGAAUCCUUGUGAUAUAUUAUAUAUGACAAGUAAAUAAUGAGAACUUUAUUAAUUAAGGGAUGACAACGUUGAUGAUUCCUUACAAUAAACAAUUGAUUUGCUAAGCCCAUCGAAUGGUGACGGUUAGCUAGCCCUUAUUCCUUGCACUUGCACAUACACACGUACACUAAUUCAUAGCCUUAUAAAUUAUUUUCAUGUAUAUAGGAUAUAGCUAGCUUUGAGCAAAAUAAAAUAAUAAAAGUAUAGCUACGCAAUUAAUAUUGCAAUAUCCUUAUUCCUUAUCGAUCCAGUAGCAGUGAUCUAUCUGGUGCGUCAUGAUAAUUAGUGUUCAUGCAUAGCUGCACAUUCCUUUCUUUUCGUGCACGUGUUGUUGCAGCUGCCGCAGUUUUCCUUGUCCGACAUCGGAUUCACACAGUUACCUUCGCAGCAAAUCUCUGCGUAAUUGCAUUUCCUCCCACACCUGCCGCAGUUCGCUGUGUCUGUGUUUCUGUCCACGCAUUUCUUGUUGCAGCAAUCCGGCCCUGCGCUGCCCGACGCCUGACAAACCUUAGGGUUUUUGUCGCAAGUCAUGGCAGUCGGCCGGGAGGCAAGGAAGCGGCUUCUUAGAGAAGUGCUUUUUCCAAACUGGUUUUUGGUUUCGUCAUUUGCAUAAGUAUUGUUUUCCUCGUUGAAAAAUGAUUCUUCUUCGUCUGGUAUUGCAGAGAGAGUAGUGAUGGCUGAAGCUAUUAGCAUGGCAAGAAUUAGAAAAACCUUGAAGCGCAGAGGUUUUUCUGCAUCGUGUACCCAACAUAGAAAAAACAACGUUCGACCAGCUUCCUUUCGUUUACCUUGACUAAUUGAGUUCUCCUUUGGAAAGAAACUUCUACAUCCAACCUUUGAACCUCUCCUUUAGGCUUUUAUAUAUUUUAGCAUGGGAAAAGUGUAGUCGUCUAUGUUACGUCUAUGUUAGGAAUUUAUAUUACGUCUAUGUUAAUCAGGAUAGGUGCCGCAAAUCGUGAGGUAGAAGUCUUGUAACUGAGCUGGUCUUUAGUUGGUUUGGGCUUUUCCUCCUUAAACUAACCUUCACAUGGGCUUAUAUUAAGAAAAAUACGAUUUUAAGCAAAGCCCACGCCCAACUAUAAAGAAAAAGAAAUAUUUCAUGCCCAAUGGUCACCCAAAGGAAAUGGAAAUGGGAAGACAAAUGCCGACUCAUCAUUACUUGUUCUCCAAUAUGCUCAUCUCUUCCGCAGCAAGCCACAAAUGACAACAAAUGACAAAGCAGCAGAAGCAGCAUAACAAAAAAAAUAAAAAGAGAAAAGACUGUUGUAAAAGAAUAAACAUGUGGAGCUCACUAACUAUUCAUUACUAUUCAUUUGGAGACUUUUGGUAGAGUUUGUCUGUCACGGGUGAAUAGUGAAUAGUGAUGAAUAGUGAUUAUUUCAGCCUAUAAAUAAGAAGAGAAACGGAAAGAGAAGAGAAGAAAAAAGAAGAGAGAAAGAAAAGAAGAAAAAGAAGAGAGAAAGAAAAGAGGAAAAGAAGAAGAGAGAAAGAGAUAGGAAACGGGGAGAAGAAAAGGAAAGGAGGAAAGAGAGAAGAAAAGGAAAGAAGGAAAGAGAAGAGGAAAGGGAAAGGAGGAAAGAGAGUCAGGCAGAGAAGAGGAAGAGAAGGAAGAAAUAGGGUGAGUGAGCAGAGAGAAAAUUCAGUGAGCCUUACAUAUUGUAAACACUAAAGUUGUAGCCCUAUUAUUUUACAUAGUGGAAAAGUUACUACUGCUGCUCUCCGGGGACGUAGGCAUAGCCGAACCUCGUUAAAUACUGUGUCUCAUCUACUUUACGUGCAGCUCAAUAUUCGCACAUAUUCCAGGUCAUUUUAUAACACGUUAUCAGCAUGCAUCCCGCUCCCUCUACUCAAGUUUCUCCAACUUAUCCUACGAAACACACAACAUCUAUCAUAUGGUAAUGAAUAGUGGCAAUAAUUAUUUGAUUGUUCCAUUUAAUUACUACAAUAGGCAUUAAUAUAACUUAUUUUUGCCGCUUCAUCAUUAAUUGGCCUAGGAGUAGGGCCCUUCUUACUGUAAGCAAGCCUGAAAAUUAUGCAGAUUGAAUAUCAUCGACAAACAAAUACCAUUGCCUUUGAACCAAAUAUUAUAUAUGAAGAUACUAGUUAAGGACUUAAUAUUAAUUGCACACUAAAAACAAAAAAUUCUAAAAAGCACAGGUUGAAGCAAUGACACUCUCAACCAAAAAACAAAGUAAACAUCACUUCCCCAACGAAGCUUGGUUAAAGACCAAAUAACAUACUAGCUAAAAGACAUGCAUACUUUGAAGCAGUCAAAAUUAUUCAUGCACCAAAUUUAAAACAACCUGAAAAUAAAAAACGAGAAGCCACUACCCAAGUAUCGGAAAUUUGUAUAACUAACAAGCAAAAUAGCAAAAGCAUUGUGUGUUACUUGCAAUUUUCUUAUAAAGCCUCUGAAACAGCAGGAGUGUAGAUCCCAAGGACAAAGGUAAACAUAUGUUUAUAUUCUUGCAAAAGUUAUUAGGUUGUAAAACAAUCCACCAAAAGAAGAGGAAAUAACCCUUCCUUAAUCUAGUUUAAUACAAAAUCUACACUUAUUAUAUCAGAGAAGCAGAAGCACCAAACAAGAAGCGAUUCAAUUUCUUGUCAUUUUAACAAUCAUUGCUUACUGAUAGUAUGUUCAAAAGGGGAAAUUUUUUAUAUAUAAAGAAAAUAACCAUGAAGUCCCUAAUAAGAGUAAUAUAGGCCGAAGGUUAAAACAUCAACCUCCUCUACAACACCAAGGGAAUUACUAAAUUAGAUACAAAAAUGGUAUCCUCCAAACAUGCUUUACAUAGAGCAGCAGAAAACCUAGGAGAAACACGUUUGGAAAAGACAAAUAUUGAGCCAAAACAUAAGAUUUUACCUUGACUGAGUUAUGGUCAAUCUUUAGAGGCUUUGUAUGAACUGCAACUUAAUCAAUUGAAACACAUUUUUACAAAUAACGAAGGGGGAAAAAUCAGACAUGAGAAUUCAUGAACAAAAGGGCAACUCUAAUAACCACCACACUAAGCAAAUGAUACACAAAAUGUGAUAAUUAUAAAAUGAAUGUGAUAAUUAUAAAAUGCAGGUCAACAUCCAUACCAGCAACUAAUUUGUCAAAGUCAUCAUGAUAUGGUGAUAAGAUAUAUAUAUAUAUAUAUAUAUAUAUAUAUAUCUAGUACAAGUUUAGACUAGCAAAAAGAAUUAAUGCAAUCAGUGAUACAUAAACAAAUUAAACAACAAGUAGAGGGGGGGGGGGGGGGGGGGAUUUGGACUUGUACUGAUUCAGGUUGAUGAAUCAGACAUCUUCUGUUUCUUAAAACUACCAAUAUAUCUAUCCACUAAAAGUGGAAGAGACAAGACAACUGCCUCACUCUCUUAUACUCAAACCUUACAGAUGGUCUCAAAAUUGCAUACUGCUUAUAAAACAUCGACAACUAGGGAUGAGAUUAUAUUGAUAAAACUACAAAAACGUUCUCAAAACAUCAAGGAUCCAGUUCAACAGCUGCAAAUAUCAAGUCUAAUUGUACAAAACAAGAAGAGCCACGAGAUUCACAAUUUGUAAUGAAUGAAAGCAAACCAAGAGCAACGCACUAAGUACCUAUUUUAAGCAUAUCCAUGGAGCUAUUAUGUAAUAUACGCACUAGUUACUUGGCAUCAACCACUACACGGGCAAUAGAAUCCCCUGAUAACCUAAAUUGUAAACCAAAAUUUCAAGCUAGCUAGUAAUUAAAACAAUGAUGACAAAAUUACUUGGGUAAAUUUUAAGUGCAUAUGUAAAACAAUGAUGCCUAGCUACGACUACUCUGGUUGGGUUAGCGUUGCCUCCAACCGCGUCACAUCUUCCACUCGUCAUAUCUAUUUUUUGUAUAGUUUUCAACAUUUUAUAGGGACUGUUUCUAUUAUCAGUCUCUAAUAAAAGGUCCCUAUAUAAAAUUUUUCUAGUAGUGACGUAAAGCAAAUUAACAUGCUUUACCAACAAAGCAGCGCAGGACCUGCACUUGAAGUUAAAGCAGGAACCAUGGAUCCAUCUAGGACCUUAAACGACUGAGUUUUAGAGUAGAGUGGGUAACAGCUUCCAUAUCCAGAUUGAACAAAAAAAGCACCAUUUUUGAACACAUCCCUUGAAGAUCUCCAUUUCCAAUUAUUCCAACGUCCUCCAGACUCUCUCUUUGUAGUCUGUUUUGCGUAAGCAGUUUCAGGCGCUAUGAAGUAGUUCCCAUCACUGAAAAUGGUCGGGUUAGCGUUGGCUCCAACCGCGUCACAUCUUCCACUCGUCAUAUCUAUUUUUUGUAUAGUUUUCACCUCUCCUGUUAUAAGAGCUUUUCACCUCUCUUUUGUAAGAACUUUUUAUGAUCUUGCGUGAUCAUUAAUGGCGGCACACCUUGUUGUCUUAAUUUUGAUGUUAGAUCACUUCGUUAUUGUAAUGGCCUUUUGUAGUUAAUGACUUUUUUUAACUAAAUUAUGAAUGCAAUCCCAUAAUUUAUCCCCAAAAAAAAAAAAAAGGAGAUACUUCAUGGAAAACCAUUACAUGGCGUUGUUUAACACAAAAACAAACUUUAACCAAAAUAAAAUUACCAAAUAAGGCAGGAAGUGGGUGUAGAGGUUCUCAGGCUCACAUUAGUUAGCAAUUGGCCUCAUUCUUGGAGAUUACGCAAUUGUAUCCAAUGAAGCAAUUGAAAAAGACAAAUUAUGUUUUCUCUUAUUAUGUUGAAGUUAAAUAUAUUCUCUUAUUAUGUUUCCUUAUUGGGUUUAAAAUCUUACCAAAUUAGUUGGGGCGCAAAAUCAUAGCCAAAGCCAUAGUGCGGGCUCACAUCUUUCAUGUUCAACCAACUUGGAGUAUUUUCAGAAUUCUCAGGCCCAAGAAGGCUUUUUAUUAUAUAUAUAAUAUACUUUUAUAACAAUGAGUCCAAGACCAGGUUUUGAUAGCUGAACAGACUCUAGUGUCUCGAAUCAAACUAACUUAACAUCGAGUAGCCUACAAAAUUUCUUAAUAGUUAGUCAUACGAUGCGUUGCGUGCGGGUCUAUAUUGAUUUAGCGUGCUUAGUUGGAUUUAUCCUGUUGUUAACCUCGACCACACAUAUGGAUGGGCAUUGGGAGCGGAAAAUCGGAACACCAAACCAAAUCUAAUGAAAAAAAGGAAAAAAACUUAUUGACCAAAAAAUUUAACAAACUGAGACCAAACCGAAUCAGAUCAAACUGAUUUUAAUUUCGAUUCAAUACCGCACCAAACCAAACCGGUUGUGUAUAAUUUUUUUUUUUUUUUUACAAAAUUAUUUAAAUCCAAUGCUCCAUUUUUAAUUUUAGAACUAAUAUUUUUCCAAGUGCAACUUCAAAGCAUCUCUCUUUGUAUGAAUUGGAUCAUUUGUUAAUUUUCAAGCUAAAAAAUAAUUUUUUUUUGUUAGCAUUAAUAAAAAUAAUAAUACGGUUCAAAACCAGAAUCGAUGAGAACCAAACAAGCCAAUUUUUUUUAAAAUUUCAUUAAUAUCGAAUAGAACAGAACCAGUUAAAUAGUACCAAUUUUAAUUUGAGAUGAGAAUCGGACCGUGCCCGCCCUUACCCACACAUGCUGGCAAUGGCAUGCAUGAUAGUUUUCAUUUCAAAACCCUUAGAGGUCAUUUGUGGUCCGAAAAUGAAAAUCAUAAUUGCAAAAGUAUUUCAAAGAACCAAGAUUUUUCAUCCCAAAUUCCUUGGACAAAUAGUCAUGUAAGCUUUUCAUUCUUUUGGAUAAUUUCCUAUCACAAAUAGUCUUGUAAUGCUUUUUGUUCUUCUAAAACAUUUAAAAUAAGAGAAAUGUCCUUUUUUAAUAAGGGAAUUUUCCUUAAUAAAUGUAAAUAUUAAGAAUUAAAAUAAUUAAUCAACUAUAAAUAAUAAGGUAAAUUUAUACUUUUUAUUUAAAAAAUAAAAACAAAAUCAGAUAAUGGUCAUAUUUUUACCAAGGGACUAGUUAUAUAUAAUCAUCCAAAACAAAACAAAAAUUAAAAUUAAAAUUAAAAAUAGGGGUCCAAGAAAUAGGGAGAUUCACUAUUAUACCCAAUAUAUGGCCUAAAUUAUAAAAAUACCCUAUAUAAAAUGGACUUUAGAAACACACCCAAAACUCAUUUACAACAUAACAAAGAGGCUUUUAACUUCUUAUAAAUUACAAACUGUCAUCAAUUUCUUAAAACAAGCUCAACUCCAAAAUCUCAUAAAAAUACUCAAAACACUCAAUAUGACAUCAAAGUAAUUUAAUAAUCAAUACUAGCCUCUCUGCACGCGCUUCCGCGCAUGCGAGAGGUUUUUUUUAAAAAAAUUUUAAAUUUAUUUUAGAAUUAAAAAAGAUAAUGGAUAUUUGUGUUCCAUAAAAAUAGGAUCCAUUAUCUGAAUUUUCUUUUAAUUUUAAUUUUUUUAAUACGAAAAAUUGUGAAUUUACCAUAUUAUCCUCAUUUAAUUAAUAAUUUCAAUUCUUAAUGUUUGCAUUAACCAAGGGCAUUUUCUGGUAUUUUGAAUGUUUCACCAUUCUCUACCUUUUGCUUUAUAUAUAUAGAUUAAAUUCAAUAAGGCAAGUUGUCAUUUUUUAGGUUUUUUUCCGGUUUAUUUAUAGAAAUUCAAUAAUAUAGGAUUUAUCUAUAAUAUUAGUGCUAAGAAUGGGUAUACCGCUAAAUACCUCCAAGAAAUAUUGUGAUAUAGGCCUCGGGUCGUAGUCCAGGUCAUGGAACGGAGCCCAGAGAAAGUAAGUAUAAAACACGCCGAAGAAAACCUAGAUGACCUUUGGCGUUGGAAGCUUGCAAAUUGCAAUCGGAAAGAACCUCAACAGGUCUGUUCCCCAAUGUGAAACCCUUAAAUUUAUGUAUCGUAUGUAUAUUUUAUGAUUCUUUGCCUUCAAUAAUUUUCUCCCCUUCAGUUGAUUUUUACCCUCUGUUCUUUAAUAUUCUGAACCAAUCUAUUCAUCAAUUCCCCAAACCCUAAUCGAUCCUUUGCAUGUUAACUUUCCGUAAAAACCAUCCAAGUCACAAUGCAUGUCUUGAUCUACUGGUGUUCAAUGUUGUUUUGUUGUUCCUAAUUUGCAGAGAUCAGUCGUAGUGGGAGUUUCGCCAUGGCCGAAAGCUCUUGCAAGCUUGAAAAUCAUCUGGGUUCGUUUUCUUGUCUUUUUGUUUUUUGGGUUAAUGAUAUAGGUUUUGCAAUACCCGUAUGCCGAUAUCAUGUUUGGCCUUUUCAUCUGUUUUCUUCUUUUGGUUUUUGAUAUUUUAGAAACGAUGCGAGCAGAAGAGAACAUUUCAGAUCCAGCCCCAGUAAGAAUUUUACUGAAUCUUAUUUGUUUACUUCCUUCCUAGGCAGGCAUUCAGAGGAAUUUUAUGUUCUAAUUUGAGUAUUUAUGCAGAUGGUUGUGAAGAAUGCUGCCGCUGCGGCUUCCCUAAGUGUCAGUCCUGACAUUAAUAAGAUGAAGAAGAAGAAGAAGAGGUUUGCUACCAAUUCCUUUAAUUCUUUUGAUUCGUAUUGCCACAAUAGUGGAACAAGAAUAAUGUUUGCCUUUUCAUUUAUUUAUUUUUUAUGUUCAGGAAACCGACAGUAGUAAUAUCUCCGGUUAGAGCUUUUCUUUUAGACACUUGGAAUAUGAGGCACGUGUGGAAGAAUGCGGUGAGAAUUUCAUUGACUUAAUUUGUUUUACUGCCUAUGGCUAUGUCAUUCAGUGGAAAUAUAUACUCUGUUCUAACUUGAGCCUCAUGCAUCUGAUUGUGCAGAAUGGUACAAGUAGUACUGAAAAACAUAUAGACCCUUGGCUUUUGAGGGAGACGGACCCAGAUUGGGUACCAGUAAGAAUUUCAUAACAUUAAAUAUGUUUACUUUGUAUGGAUGCAUUCGAUGGUUAUACUUUGUUUUAAUUUGAGCUUCCAUGCAGGUGGCUGUGGAGAAGGAUGCAAGGAGUGAUAUUGCUGAGAUUGACGUGAAGAAGUUAGUUGCCAAUUCAAUUCCCUUGUACUUUAAGUAUAUCUUGAUUUGAUUUAUUGCUAUCAUACCAUGGAAUAGAAAUGUUCUCUUUUUGUUUGUGAUUUUGAUAUAUAUAUAUAUAUAUAUAUAUAUAUGUAUGUUCAGAAAUCGUUCAGGAGAAACAGAAGCUGAAUAUAUGUGUUUUUGUUACAAAUAAAGUUGUGCAUUUUAAAGUGUACAUGCGGUUUAUGCUUAUAUAGAUUAUAGAUAUGAUGUAUUCACCUGUUCAUUUUGUGCAUUUAGAUGUACUUGCGUUAUUACUACAAAGUCAAACUCCAAGUUCAAUAUGUGUUGGUAAUUAACGUUAUCUCAAUUGAAGAUUUUGUUUCUCUGACCGCAGGUACCUUGUCCCUAAGGAUGCACUUCUUGGAGAUUUUAUUGCUUAUGUUCGGAUGUGGAUCUUUCUAAAGAAAAGAAAACCUAUAUUUGUCUUCUUCAAAAACACUGUACCUCCAAAGGGUGAGAUGCGCAUGCAACUCCUUUUUUAAAAUAGGCAUAUAUAUAAUAAUAGUAUCUUCGUUCCCAACUCUCCUUUGUCUUUCAAUGAAUGUUACAGGUGCCACUUUGGGUGCAAUUGAUGAGGAAAAUAAGGAUGAUGAUGGAUUUCUUCACAUGACCUACAGUGGGAAUGAUACCUUCAGCUACAGUGGGAAUGUUGUGACCUGUUGAUUAUUUAUAGUUUAUCCUCUUUAUCUUAAGAUCAAUGGGCUAGUUUAUUAUGGUGCUAUAAGUGUUUAUGUUUUGAUAUCGCAAGGGAUUUUCGUGUUAAAAUAUUUUAAU
rnacentral:lncRNA from 1 species